rnacentral:rRNA from 1 species
GGCCUUGCCGGCUGCCCCUUCCCAUGCAAGUCGAACGGUAACAGGGAGCUUGCUCCGCUGACGAGUGGCGAACGGGUGAGUAAUACAUCGGAACGUGCCCAGUAAUGGGGGAUAGCUCGGCGAAAGCCGGAUUAAUACCGCAUACGCCCUGAGGGGGAAAGUGGGGGACCGCAAGGCCUCACGUUAUUGGAGCGGCCGAUGGCUGAUUAGCUAGUUGGUAGGGUAAAGGCCUACCAAGGCGACGAUCAGUAGCUGGUCUGAGAGGACGAUCAGCCACACUGGGACUGAGACACGGCCCAGACUCCUACGGGAGGCAGCAGUGGGGAAUUUUGGACAAUGGGGGAAACCCUGAUCCAGCAAUGCCGCGUGUGCGAAGAAGGCCUUCGGGUUGUAAAGCACUUUUGUCAGGGAAGAAAUCCUUUGGGCUAAUACCCUAGGGGGAUGACGGUACCUGAAGAAUAAGCACCGGCUAACUACGUGCCAGCAGCCGCGGUAAUACGUAGGGUGCAAGCGUUAAUCGGAAUUACUGGGCGUAAAGCGUGCGCAGGCGGUUGUGUAAGACAGGUGUGAAAUCCCCGGGCUUAACCUGGGAAUUGCAUUUGUGACUGCA